rnacentral:snRNA from 1 species
AUUGCAGUCUAUAAGAGGAGAACUAAGAUCAAAUGCAGUAUCUGUUCUUAUCACUUUAAUAUCUGGCACAUCCUCUAUCCAAGGGCAAUAUAGUGAAUGGAUUUUUGGAGCAGGGAGAUGGAAUAGGAGCUUACUCCGUCCACUCCACGCAUCUACCUGGCGUUGCAGUCCUUCCAGGAACGGUGCACACACA